AUAAUGAGAAGUUUGGAAGUUGCAUGACAAGCUGCAAUGAAAACUAUUGCAUUGGUGGCAAUAUUGCUUUAGAGAAAGCUUAAGAAAAAGCAUUAAGAAAUUAUGACCACAAAGUAUAUUUGUGUCAUCUAUGACACUAUGCUACUAAAUACUUCUGUGGUUAUAAUUUUCUAAAAUAUGUAUUUGUGUUUUGUAUUGAAUAAAAUUUUUGUGCUUUAAUAUUCCUAUAUAUUAAAGCACGAGAGAAGAUUGUUGUUGAAUAUCAUUUUGUUAUUUAUCGUAUUGUUUUAAUUAUGAUUAUAAUUUUUAAAUAAAUUGUAUCAUGUUUUUCUUUAUUACAUAAUGUGAUAUAUCAGUUGAAGAAACCUUACCCCCUGUGCAAGAACCAGAUUCUUGUAUGUUUACCUAAGUAAAGACACAACACAAUAAAACAAAGAUUUUAUCGUGGAAACCUUCCUCCCUCAAGGAAGGAAAAAACCACACCACAAUUUUAUUAACUUCAAACUCAAUUCAAGAUUACAACUUAAUAAUCAAUGAACUAACUCUACUCUCCAAGAAGUCAAACUCGCUUCUUGUUACAACUCUCUCAAACUCAACACUCCAAGAAGUCAAAUCAAUCUCUAUAAACUAAUUUUCCUCGAAUACUAAUCUUUUUCUCGAAUACUAAUCUUUUUCCUCGAAUACUAAUCUUUUUCCUUAUAGAAUUAGUUUGCCUUUUUCUUUAUUCGUGUUGGACUCGUCUGUUUUUAUUAUUUUUCUUUUUUUAACUUGAAUUGCUGAUUAGGAACAAACUUUUCCUUUUUUAUAUCUGAAUGGGUGAACUUCAUCCCGCCUCUUUACUUUUGAAGUUUGGUACGUGUUAUGUGACUCUGGUUCAUGUUGUCAGUUGUCAUCAUAAAAAGCAUUUCAAGAGAUUUGCCAAACCAUCGUCAGUAAUUUAAAAGAUAAGCCUUAAAAAUUAUGAUAUGUGAUAGAACUAUUAUAAAAACAUAAUAUCACACGUAGACUAUGGUAUGCUUGUCCUAUUCACUAUUUUGAUCAUGCUUACUCAGAAAUUAUGGCCAUAAAGUACGUUAUAAGAAAAAUUACAUAAAAUGUCCUAAUUGCAGAUGCUACUGCUGCUGCUGCUUCUUCUUCUUCUUCUUCCUUUUUUAAAAUAUAAAAUAAAAUAAGAUAAAAUUCGGCAUAUCGCAAGUGUCAUUUUUUUAGUGAAUUAUAUAUCAAAAGACUCAAAACAUAUAGUCACGAGAUACUUGAUGACAAAAUACAAAUAAAUGUUCCAAGAGGGGGUCCUUACAUGCAUGCAUGCAUACUUUUUAUUUUAUUUUUUUGAUCAAAAGAUGCAUGCAUACUUACAAAUGAACAAUACAGUUUCAUUUGUUGUGGUCCUAAUUAGAUUAAAUUUCAAUUCAAACAUUAUAUUUUUUUAUUUUCAGAUGCUCAAAUUCAAAAUUUCUAACUAAAGGUGGAGAAAUUUCAUUCCACCCAUGACCCUUUAAAGAUUGUUAAGUUAAACUCCUUCAUUCAAAAAUUAUACUAUGUAAAUUGUUAAAUCCAGGGGAGAAGGCACAAGUACCCCUAGACUAUGAUCGAAAUCCCAGAGACACCUUAAUUAAACUAAGGUCCUAUUACCUCCCUGAACUCAUUUUAUAUAUAAUAUUGUACACCUUUUGGCUUAUGUAGCACACCCCGUGACUCCACGCAGUUGAGGCACGUGGGAUAUAUUUGAAUGCCACGUAAGCAAAAAAGAUGUACAAAAUUACAAAAAAAUGAGUUCAGGAGGGUAAUAGGACCUUAGUUUAGUUAAGGUGUAUCUCUGAGAUUUGGGUCAUAUAUAGUCUAGGGAGGUACUUCUACCUUUUCCCUUAAAUCCAGAUAAGUUAUAUGAAUUUGUAUGAUGGAUAAUCCAUGUUCAACUAGUAGCGGAGUCACCCUUGUCGUAGAGGUGUCAUUUAAGACUCCUUUAAUAUUGAAGCUACAUUGCACAUAUGUAAAAUAUCUCUUCUUCUUUUUUUAGAUACAUACAGUAUAUAUAUUAAAGGGAAAAUGCUUUAACUCCCCCUCAAACUUGUACCGAAAAGUCAGUUACACGUUUCAACUAUUAUGACGACCUAUAUAAUACACACAUUUACUAUUAAAAAAUGAAUUUAUUUACUACCUGCGAUGUAUAGUAUCACUCUCAUAAUGAAAAGUGUAUCAAACUUGCGCCACAUUAAUGUCAUCUCAUUGCCACAUCAGAUGCCAUAUCAGAUUUCAAAUAAAAUUCUACAUGUCAUUCAAAUGUUUCUUCUUCCAUGAACAACACCAUGAAAUCACUAAUAUUGCCAUCAUAUUAGUACCAAAUCUCUAUAUUUCACCAUAAAAUUCUUCUCUUUUUUUAGUGCAACAAGACUAUGAAAUAACUGAGCAAGAUUUCUUUGAAAUAAAUUCGUUAUGUAUUCACCAUCAUAAACGCACAAAAAUAACUUCCCAGGAAAUCUAAAACAAAGCAAAAAUGGAAAAGAAAAUAAAAACAAAACAAACAGAAUUUUCUCUUCAGGUAUGCAGAGGUAAAAUUAGAACUUUCAAAAUUGUCAUUACUUAAAAAAUUAUUCUUAAGCUGCAACCUUCUUGUUAAGAUUUGCAAGCUCCUAUAGAUCCACCAUUUAUAAUAAAUCCACCAUCAAAAUCACGCUAUCACCUUCGUUCCCAUAAAAAUUAUAAAGAUCCACCACAAAAUUCAAUAUUUACCUAUAGAUCCAUCAUUAUAUUUUAUUUUUUAAAAGCAAUCAUCAAUUUUAUCAACCACCAACAAAAUCGAAGUGAAAUAUCGAAUAUAAUCAUGAAAUUAAUGGUGAAAUCAAAUUAUCAUUAAAAUAGAAUAUGAUGGGGGAGCGGGAUUUUGUUGGAGGUGGGGUGAGGUGGGAUGGAUGAAAAUUAGAUAUGAAAAAUUGAGUUUGUUAUUGCUUUAAUCAUUAACGAACUAAGUGGUUUAAAUUGUUUUAAAAGCUUUAUAUAUAUUGCAUGUGUCUUAUUGCCUUAUAUUGAGUUCGGUUAUUCAUGAGUCGAACAGAGCCAAGGUAAGAGUUCCUUUUUACUCUUUUUAAGCUUAAGUUGUGGUUUAGCUUUCCAUCUCGCAUACUCGUACAUUCAAUAAACUGAUGCCAGUUGGCCUGCAUCUUAUGACGAUGCAGACACAGGUACCCAGGAUCAGCAUCCAGCACGCCGUUGAUCCAGCUGAGCACUCCAGAGUCAGUGGUGAGCCUCCUUGUUUUCGAAGGACUCUGUUAUUUUGUGUUCUUAGUUUUGUUUUGUUAGGAUGUUGUGGGGUCUGUCCUAACAUCCAUCUCAGUAUUUUAGAGGCUUCAUAGACAGUCAGUCAGUUAGUAUUUAGUCUCUCAUCUAUGUAUAUAUGUAAAUAUUCUAUUUUGAGACACGAGUUGCCUUUUUGGGCAUGUUAUGCAUCCGUUAGGUUGUUUUAUAACCUUGCAUUGCAUUGAGUUAUUCUGUUGAGUUAGGUUUCCGCUGAGCUAAGAAAGCCAGGCCAAGGGUUCACUUGGGGGCCAGCAAUGGUCUUCGAGUGCCGGCUACGCCCAGGGUGUAGGCACGGGGCGUGACAAUAUGGACCACCAAUCUUAUUUGAUUGAGCGGAGUAGAAUAUUUAAUACAGGAGUCAAAAUAUAAAGAAGUAAAUAUAUAAUGAAGUAAAAAAGAUUUAAUAUAUAGUGUAUAAAUCACCCCUCUUUAAAAUUGUUUCAUUCUCAAAGAAUACCCCUCACACAAGGAUGACUCUGCCACUAAUUGAAUAUAAAUCCUUCAUCAUACAAAGUCGCACUACUAAUUAUCUGGAUCUAGAUACAAUCUAAAAAUCUUUUAUUUUACACUCUAACUAAAGGUUUCAUCAAAGGACAUCCCUCAGACAAGGAUGGAUCUGUCACUAAUUGAAUAGAAAUCCUCCAUCACAUAAAGUUGCACAACUAAUUAUCUUAGAUCUAAAUACAAUCUAUAAAAAAAAUUAUUUUACAUUCUAACGAAGGGUCUCAUCUAAGAACACCUCUCAGACAAGGACAACUCUGUCACUAAUUGAACAGGAAUCCUUCGUCCCAAAAAGUAACACAACUAAUUAUUUAGAUCUAAAUACAAUCUAUAUAUGUUUUCCUCUAUAAAUAGUUCACCUCAUUUUCACAUCAACUCAAAUAACAAGGUCAUAUAAUAUAACUCACUAUUAACCCUAAUCUCUCAAUGGCAUUGAAAGUUGUGUUGUUGUUGUUGUUCCUUGCCAUGUUUGUGUUGACAGAGCAUAAUGCUAUGGCACAAGACAUUGACCCAAAAUGUGCAGCAUUUUGUGUAAUAAGGUGCAAUACAAGGCCGAUAUGCCUAUCUAGGUGCCUUGCCAAGUGCUAUAUAACUACAAUCACAUAUGAAUCAGUUGAUACUGAGCCUGCAAAUCGUGGUUGUAACGUUGGAUGUUCUCUUGGUCAUUGCUUCAAGUUUCUCAUCAACUAUGGUACCUCUGCUUGUCUUUUUUUUUUCUUCGUACUGACAUGCAAAAAAAGUUACAAUUUGAGUUUGACAUCCCAAAUAGAUAUCAUGGAGAAAUUAUAUAUGAUCUUAGCCGGCUUAAUUAUGACAUAUUAAUCUUUAAUUAUACGCACCAAUUUAUAGUAGAAAACGUCUGGAGUUUCACGGUUUAUUAAAAUAAAUGUGUAUAGAUUAAUGAAAAGACAUAUUUUACGCGGUUAACUUAAUUGAAUUUCUGUUAAAUGUUUUAAGCUUUUCUUUCUCAUAUAUGAAAAGUACUAAUUUUUUUAUUAUUUUAUAUUAUUUCUGCAGAUAAUGAGAAGUUUGGAAGUUGCAUGACAAGCUGCAAUGAGAACUAUUGCAUUGGUGGCAAUAUUGCUUUAGAGAAAGCUUAAAAAAAGCAUUAAGAAAUUAUGACCACAAAGUAUAUUUUUGUCAUCUAUGACACUAUGCUACUAAAUACUUCUGUGUUUAUAAUUUUCUAAAAUAUGUAUUUGUGUUUUGUAUUGAAUAAAACUUUUGUGCUUUAAUAUUCCUAUAUAUUAA
rnacentral:lncRNA from 1 species